rnacentral:rRNA from 1 species
AUGAUCCUCCAUGCCUUCCCUGAUUUCCGAUGGCAGCAAGCCGCCGUAAUGAAGGACUGGGAGCAUUGCGUUGAGGAGACCGAAAUCUCAUCGUCUUUCCAUGCCAUGAUGAUCCCGCCCCGGGUACCGUCCGCUGGCUGGAAACAGAAACCAGUGAAGGCAGGCCCGCAGCACUCCCGAACAAUCUCCGCGAAAACAUCUGAUAAUUUUGAUUCUUGGAAGCACACGAAGGAUACAUUAAACUGCUGCACUAAUCUCCGUACUACGCCUCUUCUAGCAGCCGAGUUCAAGCCUCUGACAUUCCAAACUAGCAUUGGGCAACUAUCCAUGGAAAACUACUGUGUCGAAACUGCACCACCGGGGACUGCACUAGACCGCGAGGCUAGAUGGUCCAGCCACAGGAGCUGCCUUGACUCCAGGAGCAGCCGCCAGGGCCGUGAGCGCCUCGAUCUGGGCUUGGGUGAGCGGGCGCUCGAAAGAGAGCUCGUAGCGGCGCAGAGCCUCCUCCCGGGGCCGCUGAUUCCGAGCUUCUGCAUGAUGAGCUGCCGCGCACGGGCCACCGCGUUCAGAGUGGCCGUGGUCUUGGAGGCAAGCCGCCCGCUGCGCCUGGGGUUUGGGAUCGGUGAGCGUCGGCGGCGAGUCGCCCUCGUCUGCAUGGCCGGGCGCGGCAGGAUUGGUGGCGCGAGUGGGAGGGUCACGUCCGCGACCAGCUGGUCCACCGCGGUCCGUGGACCCACCAUCCCUCCUGGCUGUGGGCCCUGUGCCUCCUGCGCCAGGGCCGUCAGCGCCCGGUCGGUCGCCUGCGGAACGAGCGGGGUGGCAGCCCGCCGGCAGUGCAGGCGCAGCCAAGCGGCAGCCCGCCGGGCUGACCCGUGCCCCCCAGCAGGCGAGGCGGGGGCCAUGGCCGCGCCGGACAAACGGAUCAGUCCAAGGCCGCUGACCAGAGGCGUCAUCGGGGCCACCUGGCUCUGCCCGAGGGGGGGAGCCAGUGCAGCAGCGUCAGCGCUCGCCCUCCCAGGCGAAUCAUGGGGAGGGGAUGUUUCCUCCUGGUUGUCGUGGAUGGCCCCACCAGAGCUUGCCACAACAGGAGUCAGCGGGUCCUGCUCCCUGACAGUCAGCGGUUGGCUGCAUGGCGCAUGCGCAUGCACGUCGGGGGCUGCGCCAGGGAUCGCAGUCGCUACGCUCUCCGCGCCCCCCAUCGCCGCCGCCAAGGGGGAGACGCGGAGCCGCCAUUGA